CGGUUGAUCCUGCCGGACCCGACUGCUAUUUGGGUGAGGAUAAGCCAUGCGAGUCGAAUGGGAUACCUAAAUUUCCCAUGGCGAACUGCUCAGUAACACAUGAUCAACUUACCCUAUUGAGAAAGAUAACCUCGGGAAACUGAGGAUAAUAUUUCAUAGUUGAAUUGGCUUGGAAAAGUUUUUCAACAAAAGGGAUAGGGAAAAUGGUCUCUAUCCGCUAUAGGAUAGGAUCGUGUUCGAUUAUGGUAGUUGGUGAGGUAAAGGCUCACCAAGCCGAUAAUCGAUAGGGGCCGUGAGAGCGGGAGCCCCGAGAUGGGUAUUGAGACAACGACCCAGGCCUUACGAGGCGCAGCAGGUACGAAACCUCCACAAUACACGAAAGUGUGAUGGGGUUACCCAAAGUGUUCAUUAUUGAACUGUGGUAGGAGAGUAAUGUCCCCUACUAGAAAGGAGAGGGCAAGGCUGGUGCCAGCCGCCGCGGUAAAACCAGCUCUUCAAGUGGUCGGGAUAAUUAUUGGGCUUAAAGUGUCCGUAGCCGGUUUACUAAGUUCCUGGUAAAAUCGGGUAGCUUAACUAUCUGUAUGCUAGGAAUACUACUAUACUAGAGGGCGGGAGAGGUCUGAGGUACUACAGGGGUAGGGGUGAAAUCUUAUAAUCCUUGUAGGACCACCAGUGGCGAAGGCGUCAGACUGGAACGCGCCUGACGGUGAGGGACGAAAACCAGGGGAGCGAACCGGAUUAGAUACCCGGGUAGUCCUGGCUGUAAACGAUGCAUACUAGGUGAUGGUACGGCUAUGAGCCAUAUCAGUGCCGUAGGGAAACCGUUAAGUGUGCCGCCUGGGAAGUACGGUCGCAAGGCUGAAACUUAAAGGAAUUGGCGGGAAGGGCGAAUU
rnacentral:rRNA from 1 species